UUGCAUAAUGAGCCUACGAGUUACUCUUCACUAGCAAGGAUAAGGAUUUAAGGUCCGCAUCCGAAGCGAAAGCGAGUCCUAAAUAGGCGUUCAGUUAGUGGAGGUAGACGCGAAACCUUGUGAUCUACCCAUGGUCAGGUUGAAGCUCCGGUAAAACGGAGUGGAGGACCGAACCACCAGGCGUUGAAAAGCCUUUGGAUGAACUGUGGGUAGGGGUGAAAGGCUAAUCAAACUAGGAAAUAGCUCGUUCUCCCCGAAAUGCAUUUAGGUG
rnacentral:rRNA from 12 species